CCUGAAAAUGGAUGGCGCUAAAGCGUCGGCCGAUGCCNNNCCGUCGUGGCAAACGAAUCGCAAGAAAAAGAUGAUUUGANNNAAAAACGAAGUUCCUAAAACCGAGGAACCAGGCGUCGACGAGUAGGAGGGCGCCGCGGUGCGCUUAGAAACCAUUCGGGCGC
rnacentral:rRNA from 1 species